AUGGAGCCAUGGGAGUGGAGCGAGGGAGGCAGCAUCAAGAGGCCCAUGGCUCCGCCCGUUGCCGCUCUCGGCGCCGAACUCCUGGGGAAGAUAUUCCGCCGCCUCCCCGACAUGGCGUCGCUCGCCAGCGCCGCCCGCGUCUGCAAGCGCUGGGGCCGCGUGGCCUCCGACCCGGCCGUCUUCCGCCGCUUCGGCUCCCUCCGCAGGCCGCCGCUCGUCGGCGUCCUCGUCACCGACCGCGGCCGCGAGAAGUUCCCCCUCUAUUGCUCUGAUAUCUGCUUCAUCAAGGCGCCCUCUCGCAACAAUCUCGAGCUGGCCUCCGCCGCGGCGAACGGCGACUUCUACUUCAUGCACCACCCCGACGUCGACGACGACGACGAGUGGCGCCUCCGUGGCUGCGACGGCGGCUUCCUCCUCUUCUCCCUCGGCCGCUACAGCACGGACCUCGCCGUGUACGACCCUCUCGACCGGACCGCCGUCUUCUUCAAGCCGCCCCACGACUUCCGCCCGUUCCGCUACGCCAUCGUCGCCGACGAGGCCGACGCCUCGUUCCAGGUCAUCGCCAUACAGCCCGACCCCUGGGGCGACGAUGCCUCGGUUGUCUUCUCCUCCCGCACCCGUAGCUGGGCCGAGAACGGGUCGGUGAGCUACAGAUUUGCCUGGCCCUACACCGACGGCAUUGCCGCCGGGCGGCUUGUCUACUGGCGGUCCAACACCAAGAAGGACUGUUAUUGCGAAGCGAAGGAGGAGAUAUUGGUGGUUGACACGACAACCAUGGCGUGGUCGUACAUAACCGCGCCGGUCCCGGUCGGCGAAUCGUACUGCGUGACGCACAUGGCGGAGCACGGCGGGCUGUGCAUCGUGUCCAGCAAGGAGCAACGCGUGCUGCUCUGGGUCAGUGACGCCAAUGGUGGAUGGGUGGUCAAGCAGGAGGUCUCGCUGCUGAGUCAGUUUCCCUACCUGAAGAAGCUUCGUCGCGACCAGUGGAUGAAGAGGGUGCGCAUCCUGGCAAUGAGGGCCGGCUAUGUCUACAUGGAGUUCUGGUCCAUAAGGAAGACCGACUCCUAUCUUGUGCUCAAUCUCAACACCGUCAAGCUGGAAAUGUUUCUCAACAAUGGGCUCAACAAUGAGGGUAGGCCUUACAGAGGCCCUGCUUUUCCGUUCUUUUUGCGAAUGGCACCUCUGCCUGCCGCAGAUGAUGACGAGAAGCUUCAAGAUGCUUGA
rnacentral:rRNA from 1 species